GACCCCAAAGACUCCAUGGACUCCAUGGACCUCAGAUCCCAUUGACCCCAAGGACCCCAAGGAUCCCAUUGACCCCAAGGACCCCUCAGACCGCCCACAUCCCACUCCAUCCCACCGCAGAUGGUGACGCCGUGGGGAUCCCAGGGGGGAAGAAAACCACCAAAAACCCAACACCCCCAUGCUCCAUGCAUCACUCACGCUGUGCACCCAGCACCCCGUGCACCAUGCAGCCUGCACCCCAUGCACCCCAUGCACCCAGCACCCCGUGCACCAUGCACCCAACACCCCAUGCGCCCUGUGCACCCUGUGCACCAUGCAGACAGCACCCCAUGCACGCCAUGCACCCAGCACCCCACACACCCUGUGCACCCUGUGCACCAUGCACCCAGCAGCUCAGGCACUCCAUGCACCCAGCUCCCCGCACCCCAGGCACCGGAUGCACCCCACGCACCCAGCUCCCUGCACCACGCUCCCUUUGCACUGACACCAGUGGUGACCUCCAUCCCUGCAGCAGCCCGCAAGACCUGCGUACCACAGCUCCGGCACCAAACACGGAGGGUCCUGGGGACCCCCUGCUCAGCCCCUCCAGGGUCUGGCACCACUGCGGGGGGCAGAGCCGACCCUCCCAUGCGGGGUCGGGCCGGAUCGAGGCUGGCACUGUGA
rnacentral:lncRNA from 1 species